rnacentral:rRNA from 2 species
UUGGAGAGCAAGUCUGGUGCCAGCAGCCGCGGUAAUUCCAGCUCCAAUAGCGUAUAUUAAAGUUGUUGCAGUUAAAAAGCUCGUAGUUGAAUUUCGGGAUCAAUUUGUUGGUCGUGCCUCGGUACGUACUGGCAUUAUUGGUUUCUACCUUCUGAAGAACCUUGAUGUCAUUAAUUUGGUGUCUUGGGGAAUCAGGACUGUUACUUCGAAAAAAUUAGAGUGUUUAAAGCAGGCAUACGCUUGAAUACAUUAGCAUGGAAUAAUGAAAUAGGACGUUUGAUUCUAUUUUGUUGGUUUCUAGGAUCGACGUAAUGAUUAAUAGGGAUAGUUGGGGGCAUUAGUAUUCAAUUGUCAGAGGUGAAAUUCUUGGAUUUAUUGAAGACUAACUACUGCGAAAGCAUUUGCCAAGGAUGUUUUCGUUAAUCAAGAACGAAAGUUAGGGGAUCGAAGACGAUCAGAUACCGUCGUAGUCUUAACCAUAAACUAUGCCGACUAGGGAUCGGAUGAUGUUAAUUUUUUAAUGACUCAUUCGGCGCCUUACGGGAAAC